rnacentral:tmRNA from 1 species
GGGGCCGAACUGGAUUCGACCGGGCAUGUGAGGUGUGGCGUGGCGCGUCGCGGCGCACGCUGGCCGCGUUAUCAAGCGUGCACACUGAUAACUGCCAACACGCAGUUUGCCCUCGCGGCCUGAUCAGGCCGUGACGGCCGACGCCUGACGCCCGAUGGGGCGUCGGCCGCUGACAUCGGGCUGGUCCUCGUGCGGCGCCUCGGCGCACGGGACGAGAACACACCGGGGCUGGGCAAUGCGAGGGCUGUCGCCGGCCCGACCAACGCCGAGACUUCCAAACAGCGACUACACGCGUAGAGGCGCCACAUCGACUGCCACGGGACGGGGGUUCGAUUCCCCCCGGCUCCAUUU